GACGAACGCUGGCGGCGUGCUUAACACAUGCAAGUCGAACGAGACGAUUUAGAAGCUUGCUUUUAUUGAGUCGAGUGGCAAACGGGUGAGUAACGCGUAGACAACCUGCCGCAAAGAUGGGGACAACAGUCCCGAAAGGACUGCUAAUACCGAAUGUUGUGUCUUUUCCGCAUGGAAGGGACAUUAAAGAUGGGCCUCUACUUGUAAGCUAUCGCUUUGCGAUGGGUCUGCGUCUGAUUAGCUGGUUGCGGGUAAGAGCCCACCAAGGCGACGAUCAGUAGCCGGUCUGAGAGGAUGAACGGCCACAUUGGAACUGAGACACGGUCCAGACUCCUACGGGAGCAGCAGUGGGGAAUCUUCCGCAAUGGGCGAAAGCCUGACGGAGCAACGCCGCGUGAGUGAAGAAGGUCUUUGGAUCGUAAAAGCUCUGUCGAAGGGGACGAACGUAGUUUUUGAAAUAAUGAGAGCUAAAUGACGGUACCUUUUCAAG
rnacentral:rRNA from 1 species